rnacentral:snRNA from 12 species
UUACUCACCUGGCAAGGGAGACAACAUAACUAAGAAAGUGACUUUCCCAGGUUGCAGCUUCCUUAACACUCUGUAUGUGCAAACCUCUGAUUUCCCCAUCUGAAGAAAUGAGUGCAUAUUUCUGCUAUAGGGAAAGUCGGGUGAAAAAUUGAAAAUAGUGCUUUCCCUG